AAAUGAAUUGACGGGGGCCCGCACAAGCGGUGGAGCAUGUGGAUUAAUUCGAAGCAACGCGAAGAACCUUACCAAGGCUUGACAUGGAAACGAAGUAUGCAGAGAUGUAUAUGUCCUUCGGGACGUUUCACACAGGUGGUGCAUGGUUGUCGUCAGCUCGUGUCGUGAGAUGUUGGGUUAAGUCCCGCAACGAGCGCAACCCUUAUGUUUAGUAGCCAGCGGGCAAAGCCGGGCACACUAAAGAUACUGCCGUAGAUAAUACGGAGGAAGGCGGGGAUGAGGUCAAAUCAUCAUGCCCCUUAUGUCUUGGGCGUCACACGUGCUACAAUGGUUUGAACAAAGUGAAGCAAGGCAGCGAUGCGGAGCAAAACACGAAAACGAGCCUCAGUUCGGAUUGCAGCCUGCAACCCGGCUGCAUGAAGUUGGAAUCGCUAGUAAUCGCGGAUCAGCAUGCCGCGGUGAAUACGUUCCCGGGCCUUGUACACACCGCCCGU
rnacentral:rRNA from 1 species